rnacentral:miRNA from 1 species
UCAUAUAUCCCGAGUGCCUUUUGUUCUUGCUCUGUCUAUAUAUAUAUAUAUAGACAGAGCAAGAACAAAAGGCAUUUGGGAUAUAUG